UCAACUACUGCUGAAGUUGCAUACAACUUUGCCCCAUUUCUCCGGGUAUACACAGAUGGCCUUGUAGAGAGGUUGAUCGGCACAGAUGUAGUUCCACCGGCAAUGAAUUCGGAAACCGGGGUUUCCACCAAGGACGUUGUGAUCGCACCUGAAACUGGCGUAUCGGCACGUCUGUUCAAGCCGAACUCCGUCAACCCAGAGAAAAGGCUUCCUCUACUAGUUUACUUCCAUGGCGGAGGCUUCUCCCUAUGCUCCCCUUACUGCUCCAUAUACCAUAAUUACCUUACUUCUCUAGUCCUCGAAGCUGACAUCAUUGCAGUGUCUGUUGCCUACAGACUGGCCCCUGAAAACCCUGUCCCGGCAGCUUAUGAAGAUUCAUGGGCUGCGCUUCAGUGGGUGGUUUCCCAUUGUAAUGGGCAAGGCUCCGAACCUUGGCUGAAAGACCACGCUGAUUUUCAGCGAGUUUUUUUGGCGGGAGACAGUGCAGGGGGCAAUAUUUCACACAACUUGGCUGUACAAGCCGGGGUUGAAGGGCUGGGUGGUGUGAAGCUGCAAGGAAUUUGUGUAGUUCAUCCAUAUUUUGGGAGAAAAUCAGAAGAUGAUGUUGGCAAGGUUGAUGACAAUGCCAGUGGUGGUCGACCGGACGUGAGGCCCGGUGUGGAUAACUGGUGGCUUUAUGCGUGUCCAACAACUAGUGGGUUCAAUGACCCAAGGUACAAUCCGGCGGCUGAUGAGAGGUUAUGGAGGCUAGGGUGCAGUAAGGUUCUGGUUUGUGUUGCAGAGAAGGAUGCGCUGAGGGAAAGAGGGUGGUUUUAUUAUGAGACAUUGGGUAAGAGUGGUUGGAGUGGAGAGGUGGAGAUUAUGGAGACAGAGGGGGAGGGGCAUGUGUUUCAUUUGUUCAAGCCUAGUUGUGGAAGGGCCGUGACCCUGAUGAAAAGGAUCGUCUCUUUCAUCAAUCAAGAAUAAGUUCAGGUCAUUGGAGCUUUAGAAGAGAGUUUGUAAUUUCUCGAUUAAUAAGUCAGCCUUGUGCUGACUAUGCCUUUUCAUUUUAUGAAAGUUUGAUUGUUUUAUUUGCCAAUUUUGCCUUAUAUCUUUUGUAAGAACUGUUCCUCACCCCGUCUACCGCAAUCUUAUGGGGGUACACAACGUCCACGGAAUUGUAAGAUUGCGGGUCAAAUAGACAAACACCUAUAUGAGGCCAAACAAACCCCACACCGAGGUCGGAGAUCGGAUUUGAUACCAUUUGUAAUGGCUCGAUUUCUAAGAUCGACUCUGAUACCAUAUUUCAACUGUGUAGAUAUUGUCUGCUUUGGACCCAAAAUGACUCUCACGACUUUAAAAUAUAUUUAUAGAGUUACGAGAAAUCCAUACUUAUAUAGUGUCAAAAACUUUUCCCUCUAUUUGAUGUGGAAUGUCACAUCUCUAUUCUAUUUUUACAUUUGGGUUACCAAAUUUUGUGUUCUUGUUUCAUACCAUUGCAAUUUUUAGGGCCAUUUGAGGGCCCACAAUUUGGAAAUUUUAAAAGCUGGGGAAAAUAUACUUACUUUAACGACCUAAAGGGUCACCAAGUGACAAGUGAUGAUUAAGCACCAAUACCCUUUUCAAUUCGUUCACAUUACGUCUCUACUUGCCUUAAACUUCCAUUAAAUUCUCCCCACUAUAUUUUAAUGGAAAAUAUGUGGAAAUUUGGAUGCCACAAGCCCAAUAAACUUGCUCUUCUCAAGCCAUGCCAAUCCAUAUUAAGGUCUUUGGGGGUCCACAACUAGGAGUGUUUAGAAAGGAAGAGAACAUGUACCAAUUGCCAAUAAGACCGAACGAUGGUGAUGAGUCGAUGGCUAGACACCAACAAUAUCCUUUUCCUUUUUCUCUGUUCUCACCGAACCCUUGGAAAAUCGUUCAUUGCCUCUCUCUAUUCCAAUAUGAACACUCAGAAAAUGAAAGGAAGGGGGAAAUAAUGACAAUGGCUCUGUGGAUCACAUGGACUCGCAAAUGAAUUUAAACUUUGUGCUUUGGAAACCUGUUCUAAGGAAUCUAGACGUGUUCUCACAAUCCAGUCGUUUUCUGAAGCCCAGUUCUUGGCUCUCCAAAGACUAGUGUGUUAUGAGUUAAUUCAAGUAGGGUUGUUUAAUGUAACUUGAAAGUUUCGGACCUUCCUUGAUUUUUAAGGUAAUUAUUUUUUAAUUAUUAAAAUUAUUAUUUUUAUUUAUUUUUAGCUUCCGACCUUCCUUGUUAGGCCCAUGUUAGUUAGAAAAUUUAGGACAUGUGAAAGAAUUAUUACUAAUAUUUAAUUAACAUAAUUUAAAUAUAUAGCAAAUUAUAAAAUGCCAAAAUUUUCACACAUUAAUCUUUUUUUAUACUAAUAUUUAUAUGUCAAGAUUCAACUACCAACAUACCAGACUUUUUCCCACAAGAACUCUACUUAAAUUCUUAUAUCUGAUCACUGAUCCAACAUACAUAGUCUUCUCUCUAUCUCUCUGUCUCAACCAGGCCAUAAACUUUCGUUUUCUUCUUUUCUUCAAAAAUGGAUCCAAAAGCAACUGAAAUAGCUCACGAUUUUCCACCGUUUCUCCGAGCAUACACAGAUGGGCGGGUGGAGAGGUUUUUCGGCACCGACGUGGUUCCACCGUCGGUCGAUUCUGAAACUGGGGUUUCCACCAAAGACGUUGCAAAUUUGCAAUUGCACCUGAAAGAGGCGUAUCUGCGCGUAUCUUCAAGCCAAACACCAUCAAUCCAGACCAGAAGCUCCCUCUGCUGAUCUACUACCAUGGCGGAGCCCUCUGCCUGGGCUCUCCCUACUGCACCACAUACCACAACUACGUCACUUCUCUUGUCGCUGAAGCAAACAUCAUUGCAGUGUCUGUUGAUUACAGACUGGCACCUGAACAUCCCGUCCCCGUACCUCAUGAAGAUUCAUGGGCUGCAACCCAGUGGGUGGUUUCCCAUAGUCUCGGGCAAGGCCCUGAAGCCUGGCUGAAUGAUCAUUCUGAUUUCAAGCGAGUUUUUCUUGCCGGAGACAGCGCCGGAGCCAAUAUUGCCCACAACAUGGCUGCAAGAGCUGGGGUUGAAGGAUUGGGUGGUGUGAAGCUGUCAGGAAUUUGUCUACUUCAUCCAUAUUUCGGCCGCAGAGAAGCUGAUUGUGAUAGCCGCGGUGACGGUGACAGCCUCGUCGAUAAGAAGCCAGGUGUGGAUAACAGGUGGCUUUUCGUGUGUCCAACCUCGAGCGGGAUAAACGACCCAAUAAUAAACCCGGCAUCAGACCAGAAUUUACGAAAAUUAGGGUGCAGUAAGGUGCUGGUUUGUGUAGCAGAGAAGGAUGGACUGAGAAAAAGGGGGUGGUUUUAUUAUGAGGUAUUGGGUAAAAGUGGUUGGGGUGGGGCGUUGGAGAUUGUGGAGACGGAAGGAGAAGAUCAUGUGUUUUUUUUGUUCAAGCCUGGUUGUGAGAAGGCUGUGGCUUUGAUGAAAAGGCUGGCCUCUUUUAUGAAUCAAGACUAGGCUCAACGGUUUGUGUUGGGUGAUGGCUACAUCUUUUGGCCAAAUGCGAUAUGGGGAAGAAGGCCCAAACUUGUAUUUGGGAUUGGCUAGUUUAAUUGCCAUUUCUUAAUAUGUAUUUGGAUAAUUUUAUCUACCUACUUAUUAUAUCGACGCUUUUAUGAAUAAUAUGUAUGCUCCUAACAAAUUUCUAUAGGAAAAAAUGAGAAAUUUUGGGGGGUUUCACAUGGUAGACGCCUUAUACAUGUGGAGGAAACUUUUAGGAGAUCACAUACUAUGGUCACCCUUGGAAAUUCACCAUCAAUGAGUUUGAGAGUGAUUUUGAAAAGUAUUUAUAAUAUUUUUAAUAUUUGAAAAAUAAAAAAUUUUAAAUGUUAGAAAAUUUAAAAAUACUUCUAUCAAACGCACUCCAACUAAGGAACAGUACCUUCAUUCCUUGGUUUUUUCCUUUUAUAACUCAUCUUGCUGUAGCAGUAUUUGGAAUAGAAGAGAAUCAAUUAGUUACACAAUGAAUUAGUUACUGAUUCCGAAUAAACUAACUAAAAUAACUAGUUCUUAUCUUAGUUUCUUGGGUGAAGUUACUUGACUGCAGUAGAUAGGGGAUGAUAGAGAAUUUGAUUUCAACAUGGGUGGAGGCAGCCAUAUUCUAGAAAGAUUUAUGACCGAUGGAUUUGGUACUGGAUAAUUGAUUCAUUGUUUCGCCCCUCCCGGUCGGUGUCAAGCAUAUGACCAUUUUUGCACAGCAAGGUUAUGAAAAUCCAUGAGAAGUGACUGGAUGUAUUAUAUGUACCAAUUGUCAUUUAGCUAAUAAGCCCGUGGAUAUUGAGGUUCUCCUAAAGAUAGGAGGAAUUCAGCAUUUUUCUUUUGGAAAACACAGUAUCGUUCAAUUAUUAAGGUUGCAAUUCAACAAAUUCAUUUAUUUUACUUUGUAUCUGUUUGGUCUUUGAGAAAAGGACGGAAAAAUUACAUAGAAGUGCGCUACCACCAACCAACCAAAACUAAUGGUUAUUAUAUAUGGCUCAGUGGGUACCUUUCCUCUGUGAUAUUAGUUACUGCAACAGCCAAAGUCAUUGAGGUUGGUUAUUUUAUUCCACUCACCGUGUUUUAGGAUUUUUUUUUAAGAUUUAGAUACCGAUAUUACCCUUCAUUAAUCACUCACGUUACACGAUGAAUGGAUGAAAAAGUAAAUAUAAAACAAUUAAAACGAGUGUAAAGUGGUUUUUUAAUAUUGUUUUGAAAAAUUUUAAAUUUAAACUGCCGUUUCACAGUAAUUCUAAGAAACGUUUUUAAACUUUUAAAUACUUUAUAAAAUUUGUAUUAUUUAAGUGUUAGAAAUGGUAGAAACGUUUUCUAAAAUCACUAUCAAAUGCACUGUUAAUAUAUUGAGAUUUUUAUCCUAAGCAAAUUAUGUCAAAAAGGCUUUUUAGACUAUGAUGCAAUUUUGUUAAGAAAAUUAAAUAUCCUUUCCACAUCACAAAACUCUUAAAAAAAUUGUAUUUCUCCUGGGUUCGUGAAGAAAUUUGCAUCCCUUUAUACGUUGAGGCCUAGUCCAUUGGCACACAUGUGAUGUUGUAUCAUGGGCAUGAAGAUCAAUGUAGGCAUUGAAAAGUAAGAUUUAAAGAUAACAUGUAUAAAAUAAAUUUAUGUAUUGUUAUUUCAACGGUAGUGAUUUUGUAUUUUACGAUAUUUAAUUUCGUGAUUUUUAUAUUUGCAUAAUUUUUAGCAGACAAUACAAGUUGUUUUAAGGUAAAAAUUUCUAUCUCGAUUGGUUUCUCUUUCUAUUUUUGAAAUAUUAAAAAUAUUAAAAAUAAUAAUUUUAGGAUAAAAAGAAGUGUUAUUCAUUCUAUUUAGGCAUUUCAUAAUCUAGAUGUAUGACUUUCUAAAUCAAUUUUUUUCUUGAAAAUGUAAUAAUAUUGGUUAUCCAUACUAAUUACGCAAAUGAUGAAAAAUAUCAUCCAAAAACUUAAAAAAAAAAUGAUACAUUAAAAAAUUGGAGAGGGCUCAAAUUAUGCUUAAAAUUAAUUGAAAUAAUGCAAUUUCUUUUUCAACUUCAAUUAACCAUUGUAUUGGUUUUCCUUUUUUCAAUAUUUCAUCCACUCUUGUCCUAACAAAAAUAAUCAAAUUUACAAUAAAAAUUAAUAAUACAAUUUUCAAAUACUAAUUAACAAUAGAUACGUAUUUUAAAAUUUAUUUUAAAAAAAUCCAACUCCAAAUAGUUAUGAUAUUCUUUAAAAAGACUAAUUACACUUACAUUUUUCCUACCUUCUAAUUUUUUUGAUUUAAUUUUUUUUUGUCACUUCUUAUAGCAUCAAUAUUGCUUAGGCAUACUAAUCAUCCUUAGAAAUGAUGGAAGUUAGACACAAAAAAAUUUGAAAUUUAAAACACAAAAAAAUUUCCUCACAUUUUUGUACAAUUCCCACAUUUUGGUACUCUCCAAAAUUCUCAAAUUUUUUAUUUUAAGAUUUUUUUUUCCAUCUCAGAAAGUUCGUACCAUCUCUCAUAAAGUUCGUACAAUGUUCGUACCCCAUCUCACAAUGUUCGUACAUCAUUUCAUAAUAUUCGUACCAUAUCUCACAAAGUUCGUAUCCCAUCUCACAAAGUUUCGUACAAUCUCUCACAAAGUUUGUACCAUAUAUCACAAAGUUCAUACAAUCUCUCAUAAAGUUUGUACCACCCUCACAAUGUUCGUACAAUCUCUUACAAUAUUCGUACCCUUUCUUACAAUAUCAGUACCCCAUCUCACAAUGUCAGUACCCCAUUUCACAAUGUUCAUACAUCAUCUCACAACGUGUGUACUCCAUUUCACAAAGUUCGUACCCCAUCUUACAAAGUUCGUACUCCAUCUCACAAAGUUUGUAUCACCUCUCACAAUGUUGGUACCCCAUCUGACAAUGUUCGUAUCAUCUCUCACAAUGUUUAUACCCUCUCUCACAUUGUUCGUACUAUUUCUCACAAUUUUUCGUACAUCUUCUCACAAUGUUCGUACCCAAUCUCACAUUGAUCGUACAACUUCUCACAUUAUUUCGUACAAUUUUUUACAAUGUUCGUACCCCCUCUCACAAUAUUCGUAUCAUCUCUCACAAUGUUUGUAGCUUUUUUUUUUACAUUAUUCGUACCUUCUUUUCAUAUUACUUGUUAGUCUUCUCACAUUGUUUAUACCCUCUUUAACAUGACAUUUCCACCUACAAAAUUUAUAUUUAGAUAAAAAAAAAUCAAAUUUUACCUUUAACACUUGUAAUCAAUUGGAAUCCUUCGUAUAAUAUCUUCCCAAGAGACAAAAUUCUUGUUUUCUUCUUCAAGAUAUAUUAAACUUCAUCUUCAAAUUUAAUCUAUGAAUACACAAAAUAAUAACAUAAAAAAUAUUGAUGACGAUUUUAUAACAAAUGACUAAAUAGUCUCAAUUUGAUUAAUAAUAACUCAUAAAAAAAAUUCAAAAAUCUAAAUGUUAAAAAUCAUUACAUAUUUAAAUGUCAUUUCACACGACAUUUCUACCUACAACAUUUAUAUAUAUAUAUAUAUCAAAUGUUACCUUUUAACACUUGUAAUCACUUCACAUCCUUCAUAUAAUGUCUUCCUCAAGACAUAUAAAACUUCAUCUUCAAAUUUAAUUUAUGAACACAAAAAAAAAUGAUAUAAAAAUAUUACUAAUAACAAAAGAUUAAAUUAUCUUAAUUUGAUUAAUAAUAAACUCAUAAAAAAUUCUAAAAUUUAAAUUUUAUAAAUCAUUACAUAUUCAUUAUUUAACAUAACAUUUCUAUCUACAAAAUUUAUAUUUAAAUAAAAAUAUAUCAAAUAUUACCUUUGACACUUGUAAUAACUUGAAAUCCUUCAUCUUCUUCAUAGAAUACAAAUUUUAAAUUUUCUCCCUUAAAAAGUUUCAAACAUAUAUAAUUUUUAAAUUUGAUUUAUCAAAAAUACAUCUCAUAUAUUUUGUAAUGUGGUAGUUGAAACUAUUUAAUUUUCAUAUUAAAUUAAUAUCCUUCUUAUAUAUAUGAAUAAUGAGAAUAUAAGGAUAGUUGUAAGAGUUAGGUAAUUUAUUAAAUUAUAAAAAAAAUUAUAAUAUUUAGAUAUAUAUGAAAUGCGGAUUAUUCUCAAUCAUUUUUUAUAGGUUUAAUAAGUAUUUGUAAAUUUUUUAAUGACAUGCACUUUACGCGUGUCAUUUUAUUAUUGGGGUAAAGUGCGGUUAGGUACCCAAAAUAAAAUAAAGAGUGGGUAACAAACAACAGCCCUUGAUUUACGGAUUAAACGCUCGAAAACUGUGUUAAAAAUAUGUUUUUUAAAGAGCCGACCAUCAUCCCAUGACUUCUUUCGUUUGUUGGGUUAAUAAUGGCAGCAAAUGACCCAAAGCAGCCUCAAUUAUUACUUAGUUCUUCCACGGAGAUAUUAGAAAAUUAUUGAUUAAAGGUCUGCAACCUUCAAGGCUAAUAUUCUCGAUGUAAGAUAAGCCAUGACAUAUUUUUUUAAAAGAUAAAUCCAAAAGUGUUUUAAGACCACAAAUCAUACUUGUUCUCUUUGUUUCUGCUGCGAAUAUAUAUAUACAGAUUGAAGCAUCGUGAUCAAAUCAUCUUCUUCCUUUUGAACUCCAUCCAACAAUAUAUAUAUAGAGGUGGGUGUCAUUUCUUGUAAUCCAACAUCUCUAUCUACAAACAAACACUUUCUCAGUCUUAGCUUUUCUUUGGUUCAAUAAUGGAUUCAACUACUGCUGAAGUUGCAUACUACUUUGCCCCAUUUCUCCGGGUAUACACAGAUGGCCUUGUAGAGAGGUUGCUCGGCACAGAUGUAGUUCCACCGGCAAUGAAUUCGGAAACCGGGGUUUCCACCAAGGACGUUGUGAUCGCACCUGAAACUGGCGUAUCGGCACGUCUGUUCAAGCCGAACUCCGUUAACCCAGAGAAAAGGCUUCCUCUACUAGUUUACUUCCAUGGCGGAGGCUUCUCCCUAUGCUCCCCUUACUGCUCCAUAUACCAUAAUUACCUUACUUCUCUAGUCCUCGAAGCUGACAUCAUUGCAGUGUCUGUUGCCUACAGACU
rnacentral:lncRNA from 1 species